rnacentral:tRNA from 1 species
GGUAAAGUGGCCGAGUAGGCGGCGGAUUGUAGACCCGCGAACAGAGGUUUAAAUCCUCUCUUUAUCA